rnacentral:lncRNA from 1 species
AGUCAUAUGUCCAGAUCAUGCAGGACCCUGAAGAUAACAGAAAGGGCUCUUCAUUCUGUUAUUUUCAGUAAGAUGGAAGAGAAUUUGGGGGUUAAAGGUGAGGACUGGCAUGGCCUAAAGUGUGUUUUAAUAGGAUCACUGUGACUUCUGUGCUAAAAGCAGACUGCAAGGGACAGAAGCUGAAGCAGGAGAGGCUGGUUCCUGAUUUUUAUUCUAUGAGCUCAGGAUGAUGAACCUGAUCCUAAAAUCUGAGACACAUGUCUUAAAAUUGGGGCUAUCUCAGAAAAUAGAGGAGGGAAAAUAGAGAAGAGUAAGAAAAAGUGAUGGAGGAAGGAAGAGGAAAAGAAGCAAGGAUCCAAAAUGCAAAUGUGGGACAUUUUAGAAGAGCAGAACGUUGCAUUUCAGCCUUCCUGUCUGAUAUAACCCAUCUGGUGACUGCAUUCAAAAGAGCCCUACCAAGAAUAUUUUCAUGGAGUUAUUUUUCCACUGUGUAUUUCACACUUCAUCUUUGCAGGAGAAUGGAUGGAUUUACUUGGCACGUAGCAGGGGACAGUCUGUGGAAAGAAGUGAGAAGGAUAAUCCAAUAGCAAAAGUGAGGGGUGAUGAAGAGUGAAAGCCUAGAAAACAAGAAGCAUGGUGGCUCCAGAGCAGGAAGCUGGGAGUAUUAGGAGCACAGUGCUGUAGGCUUGCUUCUCAGAUCACCCAUUAAUAAGCAGAUUCUCCAUGGAGGGUGACAGUAUGCCACGUAUCCCUGAAUCCUCCAUACCUGGCCACUGUCUGGUCCACGGUGGGUAAUUAAACAGUUUAUACUAUGGAUCUUAGAAACUCAAAUGACAUAAGAAAAAUUAGUAAUAUAUUGGCUCACAUAGUUGGAAAGUUCAAGUUCUUCAGGCAUAGCUGUAUGCAAAAACUAAAAUAGUGUCUGCUAUGAUCUGAAUGUGUCCCCCAAAAUCCAUGUAUUGAAAUGUAAUCUGCAUUGUGCUAUUAAGAGGUAGGGCAUCAUGAUGGCCCCGCUCUCAUGAAUGGUUUAGUGCCUUAUCAAAGGGCCAGAGGCAACUAGCUUAGACCUUUUUUACUCUUCUGUUCUUUGGCCAUGAAGGUACAUAGAUUUUGUCUCCUUUUUGCCCUUUUGCCAUGUGAGGAUGCCACCAUGAGGAGACCCCAUGGAUGGACAGCAGGCCCUCACCAAACACCAAAUCUUCUGGCACCUUUGUCUUGGAUAUCCUGGACUUUGGAAGGGUUUCUGCAGAUACUUUUUACAUUGCAGAAUAAAUAAGACAGCCUGUUGGAACACCCAUAUGGUAUGGAACUGAGGGCAGCCUCAAAAGUGGCCACCAGCUGAUAGCAAAGAGCCAAAAGGAAGCCAGAGCCUCAGUCCUACAACUGCAAAAAAUAUAUUUCUGCCAACAACCUGAGUGAUGUUGGAAAUGGACUCUUCCCCAGGCAUUCACAACUGCUAAUCAUGAAUAUAUCUCAAGAAAGAAGUGAUUGUCGAUAAUUAUCCCCUAAAGCCCACCUCAUGCAAUACCAAAAAUGAUAGGCAGAGAGGGACAGAUGACUUCCUCUUUGCUUGGUCUGUAAGCACAAUGCAUCUCCAAACCAUCCUCUGCUUAGACUUCCCAGGAAGCCUUCAGUGAUUCUAAAUCAGACACAUCAAUGCUCCACUUGAAUACCUUCAAGUGCCUCACAGUGUUCUUAGGAUGAGGAACAGAUGAUGACUUGAGGCCCUGCAGGAUUUGGUUGUGCCAACCUCUGACCUCAACCCCUCUCGCUCCCUCUUCUCCUUGUGUUCUGACCCACAGUUCUUUCUGGUUCUCCAACACACCAGGUUCCCUUUCCCUGGGGUCCCUUGCACUUGGUGACCCUCCUGUCCAGAAUGUUCUGCUCCAGACCUCUGAAUGUCUGGAUUUUUCUUAACAUUGAGCCAGAGGAAGACCUACCAGACCAUCCAACCUCAAUUACUCCCUCCUCACCUGUCACCCUCCAUCCAUCACAGCACCUGAUUUAUUUUCUUUAAGUCACUUACCCUUCUCUGAGAUCAUUCAUGUAUUCAUUUUCUUAUUUCUAUCCAUUUUUCCUGGCUAGAAUGUAAGUUCUGCAAGAGAGGGAUAUUUCAAAUAUAGGUGAUUGAUUUAUCUGUAGUGCUAAGAUUGCCUGGCACAUAGUAGGUGCUUAGUAAAUUAAUCAGAGCAUGAAUAAAUAAAUGCACAUUUUGUUAUCUAGGGCAAAGGAGACUCAUAUCUUGCCAUCCUCCGAUGGUUUAGCCAAGCUAUAAAAUGACCAGAAUUUCUACUUUGAUUCACCUUCCAGUUGCUGAAUUGUAAUUCCUAAAAUUCACAGCCAAGCACUAUCAGGUGACCACAGACUCCAAAAGGUAUCAUAAAUUGCUUCAUAUGUGUUCUUCUGGGGCUUAGGCAAUGAACUUGAUAUUUACUGUUUGGCAAAGUCUUUCUGUUUUACUUUGUUGGUAGGUGUAAGUUGAUUUUUGCAGCCAAAAACACCUCUUUCUGGCUGGCUUCCCUGUUUUUCCUCCUUUUACUAGCAUACCCUGGAGUAGUAUAACCAAGCUGAGGUGAGUUAUGUGCAGGGAAAUGGGCCUUAAUGAAUAGAAAAUCCAUGGAAUUCAUUUGAUGUUAGCACAUUAACACUCUCUUUGCCAAGUCUUCCAAAUUUCAACUUUUCUGCACACAAAAAUAAAAAUAUUGGAGGAAGGUAUAUCUCUUUUAAGACCAUGAUCUUGGAAAUACAUAAGCAAUUCCAUACCCUUUUUUGUAGUGAAACGUGCUCAAAAGCAGUCAACCAUCAUCAACAAACCCCAGACUCAAAUGUCAACAAGCCCCAUUGGCAUAAUAUAUUGGCAGGGGCUUGGGCCAUGACGUCAGGUAUACUAGGUGCUGUGGCUUAUUGGCUGUGGAUCUGGGGCAAGGAACUUAGCCUUCCUAAGUCUCAGGUUCCUCAUCUGUAAAUUCAGGGCAAUAAUAGCACCUGUGUCGUAUCAUUAACCAUUGUUAAGAUGAAAUAAAAUAGAUGUCAGGUGCCUAGCUUAUUACUAGCAUGGAGUAACCAUUCUAUGCAUGUUAGCUGAAAACUAAAUAAAUUAACUAAAUAAGUGUCAUUCCCCUCUCCCUCCUUUUUAGAUUUCAUUUCCCUACCAUGCUCUUCCAUGCUAUGCUCUCCUUCAAGAAUGCUGAAUGAUGGGAUCGAUUUGGAGAGAAAAAUAGGCCCAGUUACAAUUGGGGUCCAGCCUGGAGCUAUCAUUUUCAUAUCAGAAAUUCCCUGAUAUACUGUAGAACAUAGUCUCUCACCCACCAAAUAGAGAUAAUAAUAUACCCUGCAGGCUGAAUAUGGAGUCGAAUUAUUCUCACGAGUCUGUUUCCUGCAAGAUCUUUUGCCAGGUCCUGGACAUAUUACAUUAAAAAAGACAUGGGCCCACCCCCACGGAUCCCACAGACUCACUUCAAAUCUCAAUUCUGUCUCUGCCUGGCAAAAAUGUGAGCCAGUCACUGGGCUUGCUGAGCCUCGGCUUUGUCCUUUAGAAACGGAUAUCUGGCCUCCUACACCCUCUGUGCUGAAUGGGACUUCAAUAAGAUAAAGCAUUUCUAGUGGUCAGAAUCCAACUCUGGAUAACUGAAGCAGGAAGAUAUUUUUAGAAGUUUAUCGGGUUACUCAAACUACCAACCCAAAGGCUGGAAAACACACAGUAUCCAAGGGCCUCACAGCUACUUGCAAAAGGAACGCCUGCAGAGAACGUAGUCACUGCUAGAUACCAAGGCCCUCACCACAGAAAGUUGCAGCCACCACCAGGAAUAAUUGAUUCCCUCCAAAUUUACAUCCUGGCUCACAACCCAAAGGCCCAGAGAGGAACAUCCAGUUGUCUGAGCCUAGAUCAUGAGUCCACUCUCCAGCUGCCAGGGGUUGGGGAGAGGGAAAUCGAGACACUGUCAGUUUCCAAAGUGGGAGGUAAGCACUGCCUUCCUCCAUCCCCCAGGUUGAAGGAUUAUGUGGGUGCUGAGCAGUCCCCCAAUGCCAAAUACCCACUGAAGGAUAUGAAAGUACUUUGCACGCCACGGAUAGCUGUGUCUUUCUGAAUCAUGCUGACUAGGCAGAGUUCAACCACCUAUGAGUAGGGCUAAUGAGAACCACAGACCUAAGGAGCACGUUCAUUGUGCUUUAAAAGAAAGAAGAAUGAAUUAUCCAUACUCAAAAGAGAUUUACUGUAAGAGCCCACGGGCAUUUCCUAGAAAAAUUCCAAUAGUUUCAUGCUGUUAGGACAAGGCAUUUGUGUAACUUCUACAGGGGAAAUGGCUUGGUGCUUUAUUCACUAAUAUCAACCUGUCAUCUCGUUACUAUUGAUCAGCACUGGCUGGCCACCGGCAUGUUGGGAGGGAGCUGGUUCCUCAAAGGUCGGCCCUGACCUGAAAAUCCUCCUGCCCAGUGCCAGGUAGUUUCUGAGAGCUCCAGAAAAUUCUCCAGCCAAUGCUGUCUUCCCCUAUAGCCUCCUCUGCCUCAGAGGGUGAAAAAAAAAAAAAAAAAAAAAAAAAAAAGAGUGACUCCAUGUAUGAAUUGAGAGAGAAAGGUAUUUUAAACACUGCUGGGCACUGUCUUAACAGCUGCCUUCACUCGGUAAAUAUAUUUGUUACACGGUGCCAGGAAAUUGUGAAGGAGAGAGCAGAAGAGGGAGAAACAAUAGCUAUCUUUGGAGCCUGAAGUCUUGCUUGGAGUCACUCACCACCCUGGCACCAUGCCAAAAGCACGCUUUUCCCCACCAUCUCAAUCCUCCAAUGUACCCCUGCAUCCUUUUAUAAUAAGCAGCCUUGAGUGCUGUCAUUUAAUACCCAUACACAGGGCUCCCCAGAGCUUGGAAACUCUUGCAACUGUCUCCUUGAUAGGCAUCUAAGAAACAAAUGAGGAGAAAGGAUGUCUAAAGUCUCCAUUAACAUUGUUAGGUUAGAAACGUUGACAAUAAGUCGAUUCUUUUUGACAUGACUGUCCUGGUAAUGAAGGGACAUUUCUACAUGACUCUUCCUAAUGUAAGAUAAGAUAUGGAUGGCCUCUGAUUUUUCUGACACAUGUCCAGUAUAUCAAAGGGGUGGGGACUGGUAUAAGAAAAUGGGUUGUUUCAGUGACACAUUAAUAGAAGCCCUGGUUGGGAGAUGAAUGAUAAUGCUACCUUGGGCUUGAGUGUUCUGGCAGCUCACCUGGGAAUGUAAGCUGGAAUUCCUAGAAGAGGGGGUUAGAAAACCCAGGGGCCUCCACUUAACACCCAGAUGAAGUCCCCUCAUUUGCCCAUAGAAUCAUAGAAAA